UUCUAUCUAUCCCUCCUUCUCUCUAUCUCUCUCUAUAUCUCUCCUCCAUAGAAACUUGAAAAUCUGAAGUUUCAUGAAAAAAACCAUGGAUUUCUGCUAAAUCAACAAGCAAAUUUCGUUUUUGGUGAAGAUCAAGUUGCUCCUCUUGGAAAUGUUUGGGAUGAAAUCUGAAGAUGGCCAGGGUGAAGUAGUCUUUUUGGGAGAAUUUAUGGAGAUCACAUUUGCAUAUGCACCUUGCUUUGCAUAGUUUUGGGACAUGUACAUGAUAUACAUAAUAUACAGGAUAUAUAUAUAUAUAUAUAUCACACUUAUGUUAUUUGGAGGCUUGUUGGAUUUUAAAGACCAAAAUCUUGUAACUUGAAUUUCUAACCUAUUUUAUUGUAUUAGGGUGUUUUAAUAAUUCAAGUCUUGUAAUAUGCUGAAUUUACACUUUGUCUUGUAAAUAUGUAGAAAAGGAGAAAACUAGUUUUUUU